CCCAUUUGGAACCACCUGCUGUGAACUGGGCUAGAACGUAUGGCCCAUUAGCACCUUGUUAGGCUGUCACUGUCUGGGCGGCUGAACAGGGACAUAAUGGGGAGGAAAAAGCUGAGAGACCUUUUCCCAUCUACCCCCAGCUUCUUGGUAUUCUGUCCAGCCCACCACUGGGACUCAAAGGGCAGGGCUGCUGGUAAGAGUUGCUCAAGAGAAAGGAAAGGCAGGAUCCCGGGGCACUGACUCACACCCUGCUUUUCUUAGGGGAUAUGGAAAUUUUCCUGGGACAGCUGUGCUGUGCUGGCUGAGGAGCCCACAAGGAAGCUCUUUCCGAUGAAGCUGCUUCCUUGUUUUUCACCAAAGAAACUGGACAAGUUCAGAAAGUUUGUCUCAUCUCCUCAUCUGACUAUCUGCAGAAAAUACCUGCCCCAGGAUUCUGAAGUAGCUGCCAGAAGCUCUCUUCUAACCCUUAGGAGCCCCAAGAAUUGGCUGGCCCAGCAUAACUUAGCCACCAAGUGGCCUGACAAUAUCUGGUUCUUUAUUGCUUUGGCCACAUUGUUUUUCACUUUGGGAAUGCCACUCAUUGCUUGUUGAACAAUAAGAAUAAAGUUGUAUAGAUGUAGAAUUAUUAGAGUAGCUGCUUCAGCUCAUCAAUAUCAAGGCUGGCAAACAUUCCCCUUUCUUAUCUGUAACAAAAACCAACCAAGGCGAUAUGUGAAGGAUUCCGGGAGAGGCAAUAUGGAUGAAACCAUUUAUUAGAUUUAUAAGAGCUGAAGCAAAGUGCUAAAGCUAUCCAUCUUCUAUACUUUAUUGAGAAAAGGACCAAUGACUCAGACUAUCAGGACAGUAUCUCCAAGGCAGAAUUGAAAUCUUAAAGUAAGCAGAGAAUAAGCGUAUACAUUUUAGGAGAAGAGGGAUCAAAGGCAGGAGUAAGAAAUGCAUGUAAGGCUCUAAAUACAUUGAAUACAAAUCUGUCUGUAGCAGUUAUGCAGCAACAUAACUUUGUAAAUAAAGAUCUCAUUUCAGAAGGCUUUAAAGAUUUAUUUCUUUUUUCCUCCAUUGGAAAUCGUAGCUCCAAACAUCAGGUGACAGUAGGCAAAAUUAUUACUUGGGUUGUUUGAGGUGCAUGCUUGUGAAUAAAUAAAACCAAGAAUUAU